rnacentral:rRNA from 1 species
GACGAACGCUGGCGGCGUGCUUAACACAUGCAAGUCGAACGGAAAGGCCUGCUUUCCCUUGUGGAUUGCGGGUACUCGAGUGGCGAACGGGUGGGUAACACGUGAGUGAUCUGCCCCCAACUUGGGUAUAAGCCUGGGAAACUGGGUCUAAUUCCCGAUAGGACUGCAGGGUGGUGCCUGUGGUGGAAAACGAUUUUCUAGUGGUUGGGGAUGAGCUCGCGGCCUAUCAGCUUGUUGGUGGGGUAAUGGCCUACCAAGGCGGCGAAGGGUAGCCGGCCUGAGAGUGUGGACGGCCACAUUGGGACUGAGAUACGGCCCAGACUCCUACGGGAGGCAGCAGUGGGGAAUAUUGCGCAAUGGGCGGAAGCCUGAUGCAGCGACGCCGCGUGGGGGAUGACGGCCUUCGGGUUGUAAACUCCUUUCGACCGCGAGGAAGCCACCUGGUUGGAAGGGUGGUGACGGUAGUGGUAGAAGAAGCACCGGCUAACUACGUG